AUUGAACGCUGGCGGCAGGCCUAACACAUGCAAGUCGAACGGUAACAGGAAGCAGCUUGCUGCUUUGCUGACGAGUGGCGGACGGGUGAGUAAUGUCUGGGAAACUGCCCGAUGGAGGGGGAUAACUACUGGAAACGGUAGCUAAUACCGCAUAACGUCGCAAGACCAAAGAGGGGGACCUUAGGGCCUCUUGCCAUCGGAUGUGCCCAGAUGGGAUUAGCUAGUAGGUGGGGUAACGGCUCACCUAGGCGACGAUCCCUAGCUGGUCUGAGAGGAUGACCAGCCACACUGGAACUGAGACACGGUCCAGACUCCUACGGGAGGCAGCAGUGGGGAAUAUUGCACAAUGGGCGCAAGCCUGAUGCAGCCAUGCCGCGUGUAUGAAGAAGGCCUUCGGGUUGUAAAGUACUUUCAGCGGGGAGGAAGGGAGUAAAGUUAAUACCUUUGCUCAUUGACGUUACCCGCAGAAGAAGCACCGGUUAACUCCGUG
rnacentral:rRNA from 1 species